rnacentral:lncRNA from 1 species
CAAGUCUGCAAUGCACUCUGGGCAGGGAACCUGUGUGCAAGUCUGCAAUGCACUCUGGGCAGGGAACCUGUGUGCUCAUCUGCAAUGCAGUCUAGGCAGGGAACCUGUGUGCUCGUCUGCAAUACACUCUGGGCAGGGAACCUGUGUGCUCGUCUGCAAUACACUCUGGGCAGGGAAACUGUGUGCAAGUCUGCAAUACACUCUGGGCUUUAUGUCUAAAGUCAGUCAGCAGGGUUUUUUGCAAGCGGAAUGCAGAAGCCAUGUAAGGCCACAGAACAGUUACAGACGAUGAGGAACAGUGAGCGUCCCCCUCCCAUUCAGUGGGAGCCACCUGCGCAGGCCCACCCCACAGACCACAGCGAGGAUGCGCGCCUAAGAACGGUGGUGGUUGGAACUAAGGUCCUGCUCUGGCUUUGCCUUCCACCAUGAAUGAAAGCUCCCUAAAGCCUCCCCGGAAGCAGACGCCACCAUGCCUCCUGCAUAGCCUGUGGAGGAAACCUCUUCUUUUCCUUAUAAACUAAACCUCUUUUCCUUAAAAAUUACCCGGCCUCAGGUAUUUCUUGAUAGCAAUGCGAGAAUGCACUAAUAACACCAGGUAUACGCCAACAGUAGAAUAAAUAUUCAUUUAAUCCGAUACAAAAUUAUUUAACAGUUACACUUAUACAAUUACAUAUAUUCCCCCAAAGUUUAUUAUUUCUCAAAGAUUAAGGUGUAUCUUUACUUUGUAGUCAUAACUGAGUGUCUGCUUGUUAAUGGUAUUGCAGUUUAUAUAAAAUAAAAAUGGUGGAAACAGCGUGUGCUACUUUCCGGACUUGCUGCCCCCUGUGGGGUGUGUGUGCAUCUGCAAGUGAACCUGUGGUCUGUGUCUCUCCUGUAGCUGCUCAGACCACUGGAAGGCACUGCCUUCCCUGGCCUAAGCAUCAACGCUCGUUUUUAUCUCCAUGAACUUCAAUAAGCUUCCUUCUAAAAUACAUAAUUCACAUGUAAAGAAAUUAUUCCUUCUGUAUUUUAAUUUCCUCUCAAUCACUUAGGGUCCUCACAAUGAACAAGAUUUUGGUGCUAAUUUUCUAUUGCUAGUGACCUCACACAUUACUGAGCUCUACCCCUUGCAUUGAGUGGCCACAGAUUUCCUCUAUUUCAUGUUAUUUUUGACAUCCUCUCCCGUAACUUUAAUACAGAGCUCUUACAUACCAAUAAUAAAUAUCUCGAGUAAAUUUUUGAUAAAUAUUUAAACAGAUAAUACCAGAGAAGGUGUACAAAUAUAUAACACAUGUCAAAAAAGUUCAAUCUUAAUACUAAUCCACGGGAGUGACCCCCUCCUUUCUUGGGGGAAAUUUCUUUGAAGUUCAGUGGAACUUCUUGUGCAAAUGUCCCAUCUUUUUGCUGCUCUCUAGAGACAGGAUGAUGGCAAGUUUUACUCCCAAAUCUUUAAAUCUACAGUUUAUACUGAAAAACUAAACUAUGUAAAAUUCAUCAGUCACCUCAUAAACAUUAAGAUGCCUUGGGAAACUCAUACAAAAGUAAUGGUUUAAACAUGACUUCAGACUUAGUAAAUCAUCCUUUUAGUUUUGCAAAACAAAGUAAAACAUCCAUUAUAUUUAACAUCUCUAUUAUAUCAAAUGUGGGGCACAUCAGACAAUUGAAAUGUCACCAGCCACAAGCAGCCCAUGGAGAAGCGUGUGUGUUGAGCGUCCUGCUGGCAGAGGUGCACGGGGGCUCCAUCUCUGAGUAUGUUUCACAGCUUGUACCAUUUACAUGUCACCGCCUUAAGGCAGAGCUCUCAUUCCCCUUCUUAAGCAGGUAGUUGGAAUCACGUGGAGCUGUGAAUUACACAAUCCAUUAGCAGCUUCUCCUCGCCCUACAGGGAGGCAACUCCCAUUGUUCUCAACCAACAGCUGCAUGCAACAGAACUCCAUGCCCGGGAACCAAACGAAGAUGGAGCCAAAUGACAGUAACCACCACCACCUGAGCCAUAGACACGCCGAAGUCUUACCACGAAGUAACCGCCACCACCUGAGCCGUAGACAUGCCAAAGUCCUACCACGAAGUCUACAGGGGGGAAAUUAUGAGCUUCUGAUAAUAUUUUAUGAGAUUCUUUUAUACAUAAAGGAAAGUCAUCUGCUGACUGAUGAACUUAGGCAGCACCUACCAGCAUAAUCCCAAUGUGCCUUUAGCAGUCAUAUAAUUAUGAACUUCAUAUGGUUGCUUCGUCAUGCAGAGAAGUCACAUAUAUUUGCUGUAACUUUAUUAACAGCCAUUUCCUUUAAUAAAACUAAAUAAGCUGCUAUAGUGUUUAUCGAGUUUUAGAUGAGGAGUACCUAUAAUUUCUCCCACUUUAAAAUUUCUCUUGACUACUCACAGAUGUGAGGCCUGAAGACUAGAUGAAG